rnacentral:rRNA from 1 species
GACGAACCGUCCAAACGUUAUUCGGAAUCACUGGGCUUACAGAGUUCGUAGGCGGUCUGGAAAGUUGGGUGUGAAAUCCCUCGGCUCAACCGAGGAACUGCGCUUGAAACUACCAGACUCGAGGGGGAUAGAGGAAAGCGGAACUGAUGGUGGAGCGGUGAAAUGCGUUGAUAUCAUCAGGAACACCGGUGGCGAAGGCGGCUUUCUGGGUCUUACCUGACGCUGAGGAACGAAAGCCAGGGGAGCGAACGGG